CGAGGGGUAGAGGAAGCUUGCUUCCUUGAGACCGGCGCACGGGUGCGUAACGCGUAUACAAUCUACCUUUUACAGAGGGAUAGCCCAGAGAAAUUUGGAUUAAUACCUCAUAGUAUUUUCGAAUCGCAUGGUUUGAUUAUUAAAGUUCCAACGGUAAAAGAUGAGUAUGCGUCCCAUUAGCUAGAUGGUAAGGUAACGGCUUACCAUGGCAAUGAUGGGUAGGGGUCCUGAGAGGGAGAUCCCCCACACUGGUACUGAGACACGGACCAGACUCCUACGGGAGGCAGCAGUGAGGAAUAUUGGACAAUGGGCGCAAGCCUGAUCCAGCCAUGCCGCGUGCAGGAAGACGGUCCUAUGGAUUGUAAACUGCUUUUAUACAGGAAGAAACACUCCCUCGUGAGGGAACUUGACGGUACUGUAUGAAUAAGCAUCGGCUAACUCCGUGCCAGCAGCCGCGGUAAUACGGAGGAUGCAAGCGUUAUCCGGAAUCAUUGGGUUUAAAGGGUCCGUAGGCGGUUUAAUAAGUCAGUGGUGAAAGCCCAUCGCUCAACGAUGGAACGGCCAUUGAUACUGUUAAACUUGAAUUAUUAGGAAGUAACUAGAAUAUGUAGUGUAGCGGUGAAAUGCUUAGAGAUUACAUGGAAUACCAAUUGCGAAGGCAGGUUACUACUAAUAUAUUGACGCUGAUGGACGAAAGCGUGGGGAGCGAACAGGAUUAGAUACCCUGGUAGUCCACGCCGUAAACGAUGGAUACUAGCUGUUCGGAGCAAUCUGAGUGGCUAAGCGAAAGUGAUAAGUAUCCCACCUGGGGAGUACGUUCGCAAGAAUGAAACUCAAAGGAAUUGACGGGGGCCCGCACAAGCGGNGGNNCAUGUGGUUUAAUUCGAUGAUACGCGAGGAACCUUACCNANGGCUUAAAUGGNAAACGACAGGUUUGGNAAACAGACUUUUCUUCGGACNUUUU
rnacentral:rRNA from 1 species